UGGAAUGCCACUAAAUGAAUAAUAUAAAAGUAAUGAUAAAAUAUUGGACAUAACAUUGAUAUUGAAGACUAGAAAAGUUAAAAUAGGAUGUGGGGGUAAAAGGGACAGAUGGAAAUGUGGAAUUGGGAAAUAGAGAAAAAGAGCUGAUGUCCACAUGGGUCAUUGUCAAAAAACUCAGGGUACUAGACAAGCAAGAAAAAGAAUGGAGAAAUGAAGUGACAUAAAAGUAAGACCAGUAGAUGAAACACAACUUCUGUGGUCACCAAGACCACACUUAUUUGCUACCCACACAAAGUUCAUUGAAGGAUCACAGCCUAAGUCUCAUUCUUGGGAUUGCUCAAGAAGACAGAAAUAUUUUAUUUCUUGGCAUUUUCCCUUUGGCAAGUGACUUUUUGCAUAGUACAUUUGAAAACUACCACACAGCAAGGAACGGAUGCAGCAACUGUGUGUGAAAAGCAGUGAGUGACAUGUAUCUCAUGCACCCACCUUUCUUUGGACUUCACAUAUCAGAAUAUGGGAGGUCUAGGGUGCAUGUAAUCCAGGUUACAGACACGAAAUGCCUCACUCACCUGUCAGAUUAGUGGCUAGCCUCCUGUGCGAUGCUCUCAUGCCAGAUCUCACCUCAGGUCAGCUGCUGGAGCCCAUCUGGUCAUCUCCCUGUCAGCCAGCUCUUCCUGCCAGCCCCGGUGAGAAUCAAUAAAGCCAGUUUUUCUCAUCGCUCACUUUAUUGACUCCUUCCCCAUGUAAGUAAAACAUUCUUGUUCCUGCUGUU